GGGGGCGUACUGGUUUCGACUUGGUAGUCGAGGUUCAGGUGGCAUGCAGAGGACGUCGGUUGGCCUCUUUAAUCAUUCCGGCACAGCAGAUAACUGCAAAACGUAAAGAUGAAGCAGAAACGCUUCUCGCCGCUUAAUACCUAACAGUAGUAAGUAGCCGAUCUCCUUAGGUUGGACCAAGGAUUUAAGAUGAGA
rnacentral:tmRNA from 1 species